GACGAACGCUGGCGGCGUGCUUAACACAUGCAAGUCGAACGGAAAGGCCCUGCUUUUGUGGGGUGCUCGAGUGGCGAACGGGUGGGUAACACGUGAGUAACCUGCCCUUGACUUUGGGAUAACUUCAGGAAACUAGGGCUAAUACCGGAUAGGAGCUCCUGCUGCAUGGUGGGGGUUGGAAAGUUUCGGCGGUUGGGGAUGGACUCGCGGCUUAUCAGCUUGUUGGUGGGGUAGUGGCUUACCAAGGCUUUGACGGGUAGCCGGCCUGAGAGGGUGACCGGCCACAUUGGGACUGAGAUACGGCCCAGACUCCUACGGGAGGCAGCAGUGGGGAAUAUUGCACAAUGGGCGGAAGCCUGAUGCAGCAACGCCGCGUGCGGGAUGACGGCCUUCGGGUUGUAAACCGCUUUCGCCUGUGACGAAGCGUGAGUGACGGUAAUGGGUAAAGAAGCACCGGCUAACUACGUG
rnacentral:rRNA from 1 species